rnacentral:lncRNA from 1 species
UUACUUUUGAAUAAUGGAGCUUAAAACUUUGUUUGGAAAAUUAUAGUAGCUAAUACCAACAAGAGUUACUGGUAAAGAAUUUUAACUCACAAAAAUUUUAACUCACCCUAUCAGUUGUCUCUAUUCCCAUUAAUUUACAGCAGUAGUCUUUGUUGUUUCGCUGAUAUAUUCAAAAAUUGAUGAUUGUGGUUGGGAUGCCGCUGGACAUAGCCCUGAAAUCUCCUUUUAAUGAAUUCUUUGAGUCCUCAAUUAUGGAGAUGGAGCUGCUAUGAAAAACAUAUUAACAAAGAAAAGAUAAGUUGGCUAAAACACCAAUUUCUCUUCAAGCAGUUGAAUUUCACAAAAUCAAGAAGGAUUCAACCAUUAUUUUAAUAGAGCAAAUAUGGAACUGCAAAAUACCAAGCAAAGCCAUCGUCGGUGGCCG